rnacentral:rRNA from 1 species
UAGCUUUAAGGUUUAUAUUUAAGGUUUUACCUGCCCGGUGGUGAUCUUAACGGCCGCAGUACUUUGACUGUGCUAAGGUAGCAUAAUAAAUUGGCUUUUAAUUAAAGUCGGGUAUGAAAGGGACUAUGGAAAAUAGCUGUCUUAAACAUAUAUUAUUUUAAUUUAAUUAAUGGGUGAAAAUUCCCAUGAAUUUAUUACAUUAGACGAGAAGACCCUAAGAGUUAUAAUUAAAAUGAAUUUAUUUCAUAUUUCAUUUUUGUUGGGGCAACAAAGACUGGAAAAAACCGUCAAGUAAAAAAAAAUAACAUAACCAAUAUAUUAAAAAAGAAAUAAACUACCUUAGGGAUAACAGCAUAAUUAAUUUUUAGAUUGUGACCUCGAUGUUGGAUUAAGGCCUUUAUUUACUAGCCGUAAAUAAAGAUAGUUCUGUUCGAACUGUUGUACCUU